rnacentral:lncRNA from 1 species
CUGUCAGUUUAGUUCCCUCAAGUACUGAGAUAUUGAUCCCCUCAGAGUACAUGGACUUGUGACUUGUUGCUUUCACUUGGGGCCUGGAGAGACCUCAUCUAUUUUACUCACCUAUACCCACCACGUAUAGGAUGCCAACUGUCCAGCUGUGUCACCUCACUGAAAAAUAAGUGAAUGAUGGACAUAUUUGACACUCCAUUUACUACUGUUGAUGUU